UCUGGGAGUAAGAACACAUUAUGAACAGUGAAGACAUUGACAAACCUCCGGGACCUUUGAUUUGUGCUAUAAAGUAUACUAUGAUCAGCCCUGAUUAAGUUGGGAUCCAGAGAACCUUCCCCUUCUGAGCAGCAAAACCAAAUAAAGCAGUUCUCAGGAUACAAAGACAAGACUGAGGAAGAUCCUAAUAAGGUGUUGCAAGGUGACACAGGACAAACUUUGUCCAAAGGAAAUUGAUCUGACAAGAACUUCUGGACUUGUCAGUUCUUAGGGCUGACUGGUCUAUCCUCUUUCUAUUGACUUUGGCUUACUAGACUCAAGCAGAAAGUGACAAGGGAAGAAAAGGAUACAAACAGAAGCAAGUUUCCAAGAACAAGGUUUACAUCAGGAAGAGCCAAUCAAAGAUCAUAUCUGGAGGACUGCUGCAAAGUUGUGAUAAAUGACCAAAUAGUAUUUUUAUAGAAGGUGGAAUGAAUGACAGACUAAAG
rnacentral:lncRNA from 1 species